UACAGAGGGUGCGAGCGUUAAUCGGAUUUACUGGGCGUAAAGCGUGUGUAGGUGGUUAUUCAAGUCGGUUGUGAAAUCCCUGGGCUCAACCUGGGAACUGUUUCCGAGACUGAAUGACUAGAGUACGGUAGAGGGUGGUGGAAUUUCCGGUGUAGCGGUGAAAUGCGUAGAUAUCGGAAGGAACAUCGAUGGCGAAGGCAGCCACCUGGGCCAGUACUGACGCUGAGGCACGAAAGCGUGGGGAUCAAACAGG
rnacentral:rRNA from 1 species